rnacentral:piRNA from 1 species
UGCACAGGGAGUUGGAGUGAUUGCCAGUG